AAAAGCAUAAAACUAUAUUAUCUGUUAAAUGGAUAGUUUAAGAUAUAUUAUCUUCAUAUGUUAAAUAUUGAUAUAUCUGCUAUUUAGGGAUAAAAAUCUCAGCUCUGCCUAAUAAAAAGGCUAAAGAGAUAAACUGUAUCGUUGUAGAGAUAUCCGAUGAAUUGUGGUAAGUUGGUGAAAGACAAAACUGACUAGUAUAGCUGGUUUUCCGCGAAACCUAUGUGAGUAGGUAAUUUAAUUAACAUCUUAGCAGGUACAGAACUAGGAUCUCGGACAAUAUGUAAAUUUUGUGCACAUCGGGGGAUCGUGAUGAUUUUAUCGGAGAGUAUUUGCACUCGAAAGGGCAAAGAUGAAUAUUGAAUAAUCGGACAUAGUACGAUAAGGUUGUAUGUCUAAAGGGAAACAGCCCUGAACAAGAGUUAUAAGGUUCCAAAAUUAUUAUUAAGUGAAAUUAAGGAUGUACUUAUCAAAUACAACCAGGAAAUAGGCUUAGAAGCGGCCAUUUUUUGAAGACCUCGUAACAGAGCACUGGUUAAUAAAAAAUUUUUUUAGAUAGAUAUGUAUACCGAAAAUUUAACGGAUCUAAAUAAUAUACCGAAACCUUGUUCGUAUAUAUUAAUAUAUAAUAUUAUUUACUAGUUUAAAUAUAUAUAUAUAUAUAUAUGAGGUAGCGGAACAAUGGAUAAAUAUUAGAUUUUUUCUUUUUUAAGAAAAAAAAAUUCUAUAAUAAUCCAAGAGAGAAUGCUGGCAUGAGUAACGAAAAAGGAUAUUAUAUCCUCGCCUUAAGCUUAUGGUAUUUAAUUAAAAUUUCGGUGUCUAAGUAGGAAGAUAAAAGAGUAAAACUGUCAUGAGUUUGAAAAACUUCUCCUAAUGGAUUUUUACGAUGAUAUAUUGAUUAGAGAAAAAAACCUUUAUAAAGUGUUAAAGGUUCUGGAAAUUAAAUCUAAUCCAAAACAUGUAGAGCGAACCCAAAUAACUCUAUUACAAAAAGAUAUAAGACCGUACCUAAAUACUAACACAAGUAAGCAAGUAGAGUAUACAAAGGCGUUUGAGCGAACAAUCCUUAAGGAACUCGGCAAAUUGACUCCGUAACUUCGGGAUAAGGAGAGCCGUUAUUAUAGAAAAAAAAAUUUUUUUUCUGUUAAAUAAGAGGAAACAUAAAAUAAUGUUGUACGACUGUUUAAUUAAAACAAAUCACUCUGCAAAGAUUAAAAAUCAAAGUAUUGAGUGUGAUGUCUGCCCAAUGUCGGUUGUAUAACUGAGAUGCUUAAUUUAAAAAGUUAAGUUUUGAAGGACACCCCGAUCAAUGGCGGUCUUAUCUAUAAGGAUCCUAAGGUAGCGGAAUACCUUGGCCGUUAAAUGCGGUCUUGCAUGAAUGACUUAACGAUACAACAGCUGUCUCGAGGAUUGGCUCAGUGAAAUUGAACAGGCUAAUUUGCGCAAGAGAGUACAAAUUGAGUGCGCGGUUUGGCACCUCGAUGUCGGCUUAGCUCAUCCACAUGAAUGCAGAAAUCAUGAAGGGUACGACUGUUCGUCGGUUAAAGAGCUACACGAGCUGGGUUUAUUAUUAAUUAAUACGUCGUGAGACAGUAUGGUUUCUAUCUUCUAGAGAUAAUUAGAGUAUAAUAUAGAUAGCCCCUUCGUACGAAAGGAGUUGGGUAUGCUGGCCUAUGGUUUACCUGUUGUUUAACUUUGAUAUUAUAUAUAUAUAUAUAUAUCCUAGACUAUUUUCACUUAAGUAGUAUUGUUUAUUAAGCAUGGCAGGAAAGCUAAGUCAGUUAGAGAUAAGUGCUGAAUGCAUUUAAGCGCGAAGCUUACUAUACUAUACUCUUAUAAACGUAGUAGAACACUACGAAGUAUUUUUAUUACAUAGGCUUUAGUUGUAAGAAUCUUAAUUGUUUUGAGGCAUAAAGUACUAAUUAACUAA
rnacentral:rRNA from 1 species